AGAAGGAGAUCAGAUAAUCAGAGGCAAGGAAACUUUGAGAUGGUGCGAGUACUUUUACUGUAUCCAGCACAAGGUGCAACCAUUCAACACUGGUUUUGAUUGCAUGAUCUGAUACAAAUUUAUUGUGAUGUGGUGUUAGACCUUGCGCAGUUUUUCAUUAUAAGUAGAUAAAGUUUAGGCAUAAAACCCGUGAACCUCUAAUUCUUGCAACUAUGAACUGAGAUACACAGCUAAGUUGCAGUUUAUAAUAUUGCUAUGACUAUUGAGCCAUGGACUCAAAGUACCUGAGAUUUCUGCAUAUGCCUCUUUAUGUUGCCUAAAAUAGGAACAAAUGCAAUAUAAUUCAAAUAUUGUGACAGAUCUCGAACUGUCUUUGGUAGCAGCAGCAUAAUAAAUGUAGAAGUUAAACAGACUGUCAAGUCUGAAGUAGGAUCAAUGAGUUCCUGAGGCUCGUCUGCCUCAGGUGCUUUCAAGGCACAACUGCAAUUGUUGACUUGCAUAUAUCCUGAGGCAUCUCUUUAGAAGGUGCCUUCAAGGCUAGCCGGUGGAACGGCAGGCAGAUUUCUCAGCCUGUUCAAAGUGUUCAGGGGAAAAAAAGAAAGGCCCUGGAGCUGACCCAGCACAAGAGCAUGAAGAAUCGGAGCAGUUCCAGACACUGCAGGAUGAUGCAGCCCUGGACCGGACACAAGAGCAGGAACCCGCCCGUGGCCGCUUCCGCAAAAGCCUGAAGAUGUUCCCGAAGUUCCUGCGCAUUCAGCGUAGGAAGACCGGCAAGCACAGCAGCUGAG